GGCCAGUUAGCUCAGUUGGUUGAGCGUGGUGCUGACAACACUGAGGUCGCAGGUUCGGUUCCCGCUCAGUCCC
rnacentral:tRNA from 1 species